rnacentral:rRNA from 1 species
UACGUAGGGUGCGAGCGUUAAUCGGAAUUACUGGGCGUAAAGCGUGCGUAGGCGGCCCGGUAAGUCCGCUGUGAAAGUCGGGGGCUCAACCCUCGAAUGCCGGUGGAUACUGUCGGGCUAGAGUGCGGAAGAGGCGAGUGGAAUUCCUGGUGUAGCGGUGAAAUGCGCAGAUAUCAGGAGGAACACCGAUUGCGAAGGCAGCUCGCUGGGACGUAACUGACGCUGAGACGCGAAAGCGUGGGGAGCAAACAGG